rnacentral:rRNA from 1 species
CAGCAGCCGCGGUAAUACGAAGGGGGCUAGCGUUGUUCGGAUUUACUGGGCGUAAAGGGCGCGUAGGCGGAUUUGUAAGUCAGGGGUGAAAUCCCGAGGCUCAACCUCGGAACUGCCCUUGAUACUGUGGAUCUUGAGUCCGGGAGAGGUGAGUGGAACUGCGAGUGUAGAGGUGAAAUUCGUAGAUAUUCGCAAGAACACCAGUGGCGAAGGCGGCUCACUGGCCCGGAACUGACGCUGAGGCGCGAAAGCGUGGGGAGCAAACAGGAUUAGAUACCCGAGUAGUCCCUGUCUCUUAUAC